AGCUUUGCGCAGUGGCAGUAUCAUAGCCAAUGAGGUUUAUCUGAGGUGGCGAUUAUUGCUAAUUGAAAACUUCCCAAUAAUUAG
rnacentral:snRNA from 1 species